UCAGAGAAGAUCUCUUUAUGCCCAGAC
rnacentral:piRNA from 1 species